rnacentral:rRNA from 1 species
AGUACUGCGAGUGAAGCGGGAAAGCUCAAAUUUAAAAUCUGACGGUUUCACCGUCCGAGUUGUAAUCUGGAGAAGCAUUUUCUGUGUCAGACCGUGUACAAGUCUCUUGGAAUAGAGCGUCAUAGAGGGUGAGAAUCCCGUCCAUGACACGGACUACUGAUGCUGUGUGAUAUGCUCUCGAAGAGUCGAGUUGUUUGGGAAUGCAGCUCAAAAUGGGUGGUAAAUUCCAUCUAAAGCUAAAUAUUGGCGAGAGACCGAUAGCGAACAAGUACCGUGAGGGAAAGAUGAAAAGCACUUUGGAAAGAGAGUUAAACAGUACGUGAAAUUGUUGAAAGGGAAACGCUUGAAGUCAGUCGCGUUGUCUGAGACUCAGCCUUGCUUGCUUGGUGUACUUCUCAGUUGACGGGUCAACAUCAAUUUUGGUUGGUGGAUAAAGGCGGGGGGAAUGUGGNNCCUUCGGGUGUGUUAUAGCCCUUUGUUG